rnacentral:lncRNA from 1 species
UGGGGCUCUUCCAGCUGACACAGCCACCCCGCCUUGUGCCCUAGGGUCACGCCAGCUCCCCCGAGUGAGCUCAGGGAGGCAGUGUGUGCGCACAGAGGUCCUGGCAGGCUGGGGGAGUGGGUGGCGCAGGGAUUUUGCUGCCUCUUCUUUCCCUCAUAUGUUUGCACCCAUUCCAGACAUGCGUCAGCUCCACUCCCACAGGAGCACUGGGAAGAACAUGCUCCAGCUGCUGUUCCUCCAUGGUUUCUCCCCAGCAAUGUAAACAGUUUACAGGGGACUUUGUAAACAGCAGAUUUGUUUAGGAUAUUGUCUGCAUUCCCGCCCCAGCCUUCCCUUGUUUUGCGGCAUGGGGGGAAUGCUGAGCUGCUGGCUGGAGGUCCGCAGCUUGCAUCAUCAGAGUGCCAGGUGGCGGUGACCAAGGCGUUGUGUCUGCUCCUGUGGUCUCUGUGAGCCUGGUGGAUUUUGGGGAUCACACCAGGGUCACACACACGUGUUUCUGCAUCCAGCAGAGGAAAGCUGGCAUGGGAUGCGGCUGCUGCUCAGCCUUUUGCAGGACACGGUUGCAUGAGAGAACAGAGUGUAUGUGAACACAAACCUUGCUUAUUCAGUGCCCAGGGCACAGGGAGAUAGAUGAGAAAUCUUCCAAGAUAGGAUCUUCAUUUCAGGAAAGCUCUGCCUAUUUGAGGAGUCUCAGAAACUUGCUGUCUCCCUGGGGAAGCUUAUUUUCUACCCAGGGAAAUAAGGCUGUUAAAUCAACUCGGCCUUCAUCUUGUGGGAUUAACAUCUGAAGAUGUCUGCUCUCCUUUCACAGCUGUCCGCACAGGGAUUCGGCUCGUGCUCAUCAGUAGAUCAGCUUCUCUCUGCCGCCCCUUGACCUUUGUAAAGAAGCAGAGAAGGGAGAGAGCAAUUCUACCUGAGCUUCUGCAUCUGCCACAGGAACUUUGAUAAACUUGAGCUGUAUUACUCACAGACUUGCCAGUGAAAGAAGAGUGUGGUGGCUUUCAGAUCAAAUCAUCUUUGCCAGCCAAAGCAGUGUCUUCUUCCCUGCUUCUAAGAGGCAUGAGCUUAAUCAACGAGUCUCGGAGUGGGGUGUAUCUACAGUCGUAGCUGUGAAGAGAGGUGAUUAUUCCUCCCUAAUAAUUCAGUUUCGCAUAAGGAAAUUAUCACACACACAGGGGCGUGCACCUUCCUCUGUUCUGUCAACAUGCGCUGCUAG